rnacentral:rRNA from 1 species
GUCAGCGGCAGACGGGUGAGUCACGCGUGGGAACGUACCUUUUGGUUCGGAACAACACAGGGAAACUUGUGCUAAUACCGGAUAAGCCCUUACGGGGAAAGAUUUAUCGCCGAAAGAUCGGCCCGCGUCUGAUUAGCUAGUUGGUAGGGUAAUGGCCUACCAAGGCGACGAUCAGUAGCUGGUCUGAGAGGAUGAUCAGCCACAUUGGGACUGAGACACGGCCCAAACUCCUACGGGAGGCAGCAGUGGGGAAUAUUGGACAAUGGGGGCAACCCUGAUCCAGCCAUGCCGCGUGAGUGAUGAAGGCCCUAGGGUUGUAAAGCUCUUUUGUGCGGGAAGAUAAUGACGGUACCGCAAGAAUAAGCCCCGGCUAACUUCGUGCCAGCAGCCGCGGUAAUACGAAGGGGGCUAGCGUUGCUCGGAAUCACUGGGCGUAAAGGGUGCGUAGGCGGGUUUUUAAGUCAGGGGUGAAAUCCUGGAGCUCAACUCCAGAACUGCCUUUGAUACUGAAGAUCUUGAGUCCGGGAGAGGUGAGUGGAACUGCGAGUGUANAGGUGAAAUUCGUAGAUAUUCGCAAGAACACCAGUGGCGAAGGCGGCUCACUGGCCCGGUACUGACGCUGAGGCACGAAAGCGUGGGGA